AGUAACGCGUGGGUAACCUGUCUCAUACAGGGGGAUAACAGUUAGAAAUGACUGCUAAUACCGCAUAAGCGCACAGUGCUGCAUGGCACAGUGUGAAAAACUCCGGUGGUAUGAGAUGGACCCGCGUCUGAUUAGCUAGUUGGUGGGGUAACGGCCUACCAAGGCGACGAUCAGUAGCCGGCCUGAGAGGGUGAACGGCCACAUUGGGACUGAGACACGGCCCAA
rnacentral:rRNA from 1 species